rnacentral:rRNA from 1 species
CUUGCUUCUCUUGAGAGCGGCGGACGGGUGAGUAAUGCCUAGGAAUCUGCCUGGUAGUGGGGGAUAACGUCCGGAAACGGACGCUAAUACCGCAUACGUCCUACGGGAGAAAGCAGGGGACCUUCGGGCCUUGCGCUAUCAGAUGAGCCUAGGUCGGAUUAGCUAGUUGGUGGGGUAAUGGCUCACCAAGGCGACGAUCCGUAACUGGUCUGAGAGGAUGAUCAGUCACACUGGAACUGAGACACGGUCCAGACUCCUACGGGAGGCAGCAGUGGGGAAUAUUGGACAAUGGGCGAAAGCCUGAUCCAGCCAUGCCGCGUGUGUGAAGAAGGUCUUCGGAUUGUAAAGCACUUUAAGUUGGGAGGAAGGGCAGUAAAUUAAUACUUUGCUGUUUUGACGUUACCGACAGAAUAAGCACCGGCUAACUCUGUGCCAGCAGCCGCGGUAAUACAGAGGGUGCAAGCGUUAAUCGGAAUUACUGGGCGUAAAGCGCGCGUAGGUGGUUCGUUAAGUUGGAUGUGAAAUCCCCGGGCUCAACCUGGGAACUGCAUUCAAAACUGACGAGCUAGAGUAUGGUAGAGGGUGGUGGAAUUUCCUGUGUAGCGGUGAAAUGCGUAGAUAUAGGAAGGAACACCAGUGGCGAAGGCGACCACCUGGACUGAUACUGACACUGAGGUGC